rnacentral:rRNA from 1 species
CUGGCUCAGGAUGAACGCUAGCGAUAGGCUUAACACAGUGCAAGUCGAGGGGCAGCACGGUGUAGCAAUACACUGGUGGCGACCGGCGUACGGGUGCGUAACACGUAUGCAACCUACCCGCUAUUGGGGGAUAACCCGGCGAAAGUCGGACUAAUACCCCAUAUUAUUCUUACCGGGCAUCCGGUAGGUCUGAAAGAUUUAUCGAUUGCGGAUGGGCAUGCGGAUGAUUAGCUAGUAGGUGGGGUAACGGCUCACCUAGGCGACGAUCAUUAGGGGUUCUGAGAGGAAGGUCCCCCACACUGGAACUGAGACACCGGUCCAGACUCCUACGGGAGGCAGCAGUGAGGAAUAUUGGUCAAUGGGCGCUAGCCUGAACCAGCCAAGUCGCGUGAAGGAUGACAGAAUCUAUGGUUUGUAAACUUCUUUUGCAGGGGAGUAAAGUGCGACACGUGUGUUGUAUUGCAAGUACCCUGCGAAUAAGCAUCGGCUAACUCCGUGCCAGCAGCUGC